UACGGGGGGGGCAAGCGUUGUUCGGAAUUACUGGGCGUAAAGGGCGCGUAGGCGGCCUGCUAAGUCGGAUGUGAAAUCCCUCGGCUCAACCGAGGAACUGCAUCCGAUACUGGCGGGCUUGAAUCCGGGAGAGGGAUGUGGAAUUCCAGGUGUAGCGGUGAAAUUCGUAGAUAUCGGGAGGAACACCAGUGGCGAAGGCGGCGACCUGGGCCAAUAUUGACGCUGAGGUGCGAAAGCGUGGGGAGCAAACAGG
rnacentral:rRNA from 1 species